CUCUAAAACACUUAUAUUUGUGUAGAGUAAUGCCUCACGAGUACAACAGUACCCCUCAAGUACAGCUUUUAUGGUGAUUUUGAAAGUUACAGGGUCAAACAUAAGAUUUGCCAAUUUCUGCUUUUCCAAAUUGGUUAUGUUGCCUUUGAGACGGUAUGGCAGCCCAGAAAUGAAAAUUAACCCCACCAUGACAUACCAUUUGAAAAAGUAGACAACCCAGGGUAUUAAAAAUUAGGUAUAUGUCCAGUCUUUUGUAGUAGCCACACAAAAACUGCACUUUUACUGGUGAUUUCAUCAUCGUGAUUUAAACAUGCACAUCAUAUUUUGGCUCUCGGAUGUUGUAUGAGCGCGUGGAAGUCAGCUGAGUCCGUAGUAAUAAGCCAAUUUCAGAGUUCAGAUGUCAUAGCAUGUCUGUUAUUUGCCACUCGAUUGGUAGGUGAG